AGUAGUCAAAGGAAGAAACAGCUUACAAAUUAUUUUACAAAAUAGAUAAUUGGGGCUACAAGUACCUGCACACACACACACACACACACACACACAUACAUAACUGUAAACGCAUGAGCUCUGUGUGUGUGUGUGUGUGUCCCACCACACGGUGGGAAAACGGGAAAUGGCAGACAGCAAAGUGUUGCGACAACUUAUGCCAUACACGUGCAUCGUCACUUGCUUAAUAUGAGCGAGAGAGAGAGAGAGAGAGAGAGAGAGAGAGAUAUCUCUGUGGAGUGGUGCAGAGUGGAGUGGAGUAGCAUGGAAUGGAGUGUAGGCUUGGGGUCAAACCGGCCGCAUAGACCGACAAACGCCAAGCACCGAGAUCGGAUGGGAUGGGACGCGGCGGGAGACACGCAUAGCCGCAAGUCAACAGCAGGAAAGCAGCCACAAAGAUCCAAAGAACAGGCAAGGCAGCGGCAAGGCGACAGCAACAAGGACGCGCGACAGUCUUCACGCGGUUAACAGCUACCUUAGCAUGUCACAGCCAACAGCAGCCAACCACGUGCCCAUGUGCAGCGCCAAACUUGGGUUUUUAUUGUCUCGAACAGAAUCUGAAAAUGAAGCGAAAGCUAUUAGUGCAGUUGCCUGAAGUUGGAUGUAGCUUAAGAAAGUUAGCGACUUCAGACUUAAGAGCUUUAAACCUUAAGAGAAC
rnacentral:lncRNA from 1 species